UACGGAGGGGGCUAGCGUUGUUCGGAAUUACUGGGCGUAAAGCGCGCGUAGGCGGACCUGCAAGUUCGGGGGUGAAAGCCCGAGGCUCAACCUCGGAACUGCCUUCGAUACUGCGGGUCUCGAGUCCGGGAGAGGUGAGUGGAAUUCCUAGUGUAGAGGUGAAAUUCGUAGAUAUUAGGAAGAACACCAGUGGCGAAGGCG
rnacentral:rRNA from 1 species